AUUGAACGCUGGCGGCAGGCUUAACACAUGCAAGUCGAACGAGUGGCGGACGGGUGAGUAAUGCUUGGGAAUCUAGCUUAUGGAGGGGGAUAACUACGGGAAACUGUAGCUAAUACCGCGUACCAUAGGAUGAGCCCAAGUGGGAUUAGGUAGUUGGUGAGGUAAAGGCUCACCAAGCCGACGAUCUCUAGCUGGUCUGAGAGGAUGACCAGCCAAACUGGGACUGAGACACGGCCCAGACUCCUACGGGAGGCAGCAGUGGGGAAUAUUGCGCAAUGGGGGCAACCUGACGCAGCCAUGCCGCGUGAAUGAAGAAGGCCUGCGGGUUGUAAAGCACUUUUGGCAGGAAAGCGGUACCUGCAGAAUAAGCACCGGCUAACUACGUGCCAGCAGCCGCGGUAAUUC
rnacentral:rRNA from 1 species